AGUACGGCUGGGCAGCAUUCUAAUGUACAUCAUCUGCCACGGUCACUUGGUGUAGGCAUAGUGUCCAGUAUAGUUGGUAGUGCAGCGGAGGUAUGGUUUCGUCCUUGGGAUUGAAGGGCCUAGAGGGCAUGUCUUUUUUUUUUUUUUUUUUUUUUUUAUUAGUUCACCGUCGGGGCGACGGUACAGAAGGUGGGGGUGGAUUGUGACCGAUCGUAUUGGAUAAGUGAUGGUGACUGACAUUUGUAACAGCCAAUCAGCAGUAAGUGUGACCUAUUUUAGAGCAGGUUGGCUUUGUUGGGUCAUGCGUCACCUCCGGCCCCGCCCUUUGGUUUUUUGUUAUGUUGACUUGUGUUUUAGGUAUGUGUUAGCAGUUAGCUCUUCGUUUGUCUCUUUUAUAAUGUUGUGGACUAAUCGUUUGUUAUUUCAUUUUAGCCUGUCUUUUCCUUUGUUUUCUGUCGAUGGCCAUGAGUUUAAUGACUGCUGUUUAUUCAGGUAAGCGCUUAAUACUGCUAGAAAAUGGGUUGGUAUGGACGGAGUGCGCAGUUUGAAUAAUAGGCAGUUUCCUGUACCCUAGCUUGUUAUUGGUAUUACUGAGGAUGCCGAAUCCCAAUUUGUGAAUGCGUGCGAGCAUACUUUUUCCGGUUUGGAUUCUCCCUUUCGUCCUGGGCGAUUAAAUGCGCCGCUCCUGACGUUUUUUUCCUGUCGCGCCGUGAACUUUCGGUUACUCGGAAGUCUUAGUUGAUACGGAGAUCUGCUUCCCGCUACCUGCUUCCCGCUACCUGCUACCUGCUACCUGCUAUCUACUACUGAUCCCUGUGAUUGUGAUUUGUGUUACUGGUUAUUAUUGUUUGUUUUUGUUUUGUUUAAAGUGGUUCUGCUUGAGGGCAUCUAUUUGAUUAUGGAGUAGCCGGUGCCCUGUGUGGAUUUUGCUCCUCCAUUGUGGAACUACAAAAAUUGUAUUCUUUUUCUUUCCUUUUUUAUAAUUUGUGUAUUUUUUGUUUUGUUGGACAUUUUGUAUUGUUUAUAUUCAACAUUAGUUUGCCUUGGUUGAAUUUGUUUGUUCGUUUCCCUUUCCUUUUUCUUGUGACAUUGCCUGGAUUAGUGUGUAAGGUUUUGGUUUGUGUAAUACACAUUGCAUAUACUCAUUUUAUUUUUAUCUUCUUACAGGAGCUGGGGUUCCACGGGUGCAGGAGCUUGAGGUGGUGGUGUCACUUCAUCAUUUGCUGUGGACACGUUUGUGUGUGUCGGGGUGUGUGUGUGUGUGUGGAGGUGUAAGUGUGCUUUUGGCUAAAUUCAGCACUGGUGAUCACUCCCGUGGGUGACCUCAGCCCUUUACCAUUGGAGAGUGCUGCCGGCAGUAGGUGAUGAGGAUUCAAUGUGACUUUUAAAUGGUGAAACAAUUGUGAAAAUAAAUUUUGUACUUUCAUGCUUUA